rnacentral:rRNA from 1 species
GGAGUUAGCCGGUGCUUCUUCUGUGAGUGAUGUCCUUCCUGCCGGCUAUUAACCCGCAGGCCUUCUUCCUCACUGAAAGUGCUUUACAACCCGAAGGCCUUCUUCACACACGCGGCAUGGCUGGAUCAGGGUUGCCCCCAUUGUCCAAUAUUCCCCACUGCUGCCUCCCGUAGGAGUCUGGGCCGUGUCUCAGUCCCAGUGUGGCUGAUCAUCCUCUCAGACCAGCUACGGAUCGUCGCCUUGGUGAGCCGUUACCUCACCAACCAGCUAAUCCGACAUAGGCUCAUCCGAUAGCGCGAGGCCCGAAGGUCCCCCGCUUUCCCCCGUAGGGCGUAUGCGGUAUUAGCCUGGGUUUCCCCAGGUUAUCCCCCACUACCGGGCAGAUUCCUAUGCAUUACUCACCCGUCCGCCGCUCGCCACCAGGGAGCAAGCUCCCCGUGCUGCCGCUCGACUUGCAUGUGUAGCUCGCCGCCACGCGUCAUCUGAGCAGAAUACGACCUACGA